rnacentral:rRNA from 1 species
AACGAACGCUGGCGGCAGGCUUAACACAUGCAAGUCGAGCGCCCCGCAAGGGGAGCGGCUGACGGGUGAGUAACGCGUGGGAACGUACCUUUUGGUUCGUAACAACCCCGGGAAACUGGAGCUAAUACCGGAUAAGCCCUAACGGGGAAAGAUUUAUCGCCGAACGAUCGGCCCGCGUCUGAUUAGCGAGUUGGUGAGGUAACGGCUUACCAAGGCAACGACGAGUAGCCGAUCUGAGAGGAUGAUCGGCCACACGGGAACUGAGACACGGUCCAGACUCCUACGGGAGGCGGCAGUAGGGAAUCUUCCGCAAUGGGCGAAAGCCGGAAGGAGCAACGCCGCGUGAGUGAUGAAGGUCUUCGGAUCGGAAAACUCUGUUAUUAGGGAAGAACAAAUGUGUAAGUAACUAUGCACGUCUUGACGGUACCUAAUCAGAAAGCCACGGCUAACUACGUG